GGCACAAUCUCGGCUCACUGCAACCUCCACUUUCCACGUUCAAGCAAUUCUCCUGCCUCAGCCUCCCGUGUAGCUGGGAUUAUAGGCAUGCACCACCAUGCUAGGCUAAUUUUGUAUGUUUAGUAGAGACAGUGUUUCACCACGUUGGUCAGGCUGGUCUUGAACUGACCUUAAGUGAUCCACCCACCUCGGCCUCGCAAAGUGCUGGGAUUACAGACGUGAGCCACCGCGCCUGGCCCUUUCUACAUUUCUUGUUCUCAUUUUGUUUUUAACUUAAUUUCAUUAUGAAGUAUAAUAGACAAGCAGAAAAGUGCACAAAGUAGAUAUAUGGUUAAAUUAAUUAUUACUAAAUGAACACUUGUGAUUAUCCAGGUCAAGAAACAGAACAUUGCCAACACCCUCAGAAGCCCCCAUCAUGCCCCUCCCCGAUAAUUUUCCCUCCUCUUCUCCCUAGAUAACCAUUUUUUUGUUUGUUUUUUUGAUUUGUUUGUUUGUUUUUGUUGAGACAUGGUCUUUCUCUGUUGCCCAGGCUAGAGUGCAGUGGCGUGAUCAUGGUUUGUUGCAGUCUCAAAGUCCUGGGUUCAAAGGAUCCUUCCACGUCAGCCUCCCAAGUAGCUGGGACUACAGGCACACCACCACACCUAGCUAAUUUUUUUAUUUUUAUUUUUGCAGAGACAAAGUCUUACUAUGUUAUCCAGGCUGGUGUGGAACUCCUGACCUCAAGCAGUCCUCCCACCUCAGCCUCCCAAAUUGCUGGGAUUAUAGAUGUGAACCACUGUGCCUGGCCAAUAACCACCUUUAACUCUAUACUUUAAGUUUACCUGGUUUUGACAUUUAUAGAAAUUGGGACAUGCCUAGGAUUGGAAUUACUGCUUCAUGUGAUAUGCAUAUUCAACAUUAGUAGAUUUUCUUUUCCUUCCUUCCUUCUUUCCUUCCUUCCUUCCUCCUUUCCUUCCUUCCUUUCCUUCCUUCCUUCCUUCCUUUUCUUUCUUUCCUUUUCUUUUCUUUCUUUCCUUCUUUUCUUUCUUUUUUUUUCUUUUCUUUCUCACAGGGUCUCACUCUAUCUGGGCUAGUCCCAAACUCCUCGGCUUAAGCAAUCCUCCCACCUCAGCCUCCCAAAAUGCUGGGAUUAUCAACAUUAGUAGAUAUUACCAUACACUUUUUCCAGUGUGAUGUAUGAAUUUAUAUAGUCUUCAGCAGUUGAUGAGUUUUCAUUAUGCCACAUCCUUGCCAAGAGUUGGUAUUGUUGUUGUUCUUUUAAAUUUUAGCCAUUAGGUAAAAAUUUUAGAGCCUAAAAUUUUUAAAUGGCCAGUUCUGCAAGGAUUUCCUCUCUUGGAUAUUUUUUUAAAAACCUUUUAUUUUGAAUUUUAGACUUGGAUAGAAGUUGUGAAAAUAGCAAAGAAAUUUCCCAUGUACCUGUCACCUAGCCUACCCUGGUGAUAACAUAAUAUCUUAUAUAACCAUGAUAUAAUUAUCAAAACCAGGAAAUUGAAAUUUAUACAGUACUAUUAGCUAAACAAUGGACCUUAUUUGGAUAUCACUGGUUUGAUAUUACGUGUGUGUGUAUAAUUGAAAUUUUAUUGCAUGUGUAGAGUUGUGUGACCAUGAGGUGAGUAAAUGGGUCUUCAGGGGUAUGACAGGGUAAAACUGAUGCCAAGGGAAAAGCUAGUAGACUCUAUAGUACUAAACACAAUGUCAUUUAAUAUAUGAGUAGCUUUAAAAUUAUUAUAUCAAAAGUCAGUGAUAGGAAAGGCAGCUAGUUACGGUAGCUAAACACACACAGCUGGGUGCGGUGACACAUGCCUAUAGUCCCAGCUACUCAGGAGGCUGAGGCAGGAGGAUCACUUGAGUCCAGGAGUUCAAGUCCAGCCUGAGUGAAAUAGCAAGACCCCGUCUCUAUAAAAACAACAAAAACCCACUCUCACACAUUUGCACACUGUGCGUCUACCUGUUGGGGGAGCUGUGCACAUGGGUAAAGUCCCAGGGUCACUGGUUGAAGUUCACUUUGCAUUAUGACACACUCAGAAGGAAAGAUAAGUUUCUGCCCUUACAUCCAAUUUUACUUGAAGACAACUUUCUGUAGGUGAGGCCAGUGAGAUAACUUUCUGCUGACACCCCACAGCAUCCUCGUUCCUUCUGCCGGACUUCCAGAUUUCUAUUUCUGGCCCAAACCUCUCUCCUGAACAUCACUCCAUGGAUUCGUCUACAACCACUUCUAGUAUUUUCUUCCACAGCCAGGGAAGAAGUCCAUAAACAGCUCCCGGCUACAUCAUACUUAGGACGCCCAGAAAAAUGUAUCAGUAUAUCACAUCUCAGGGAAACCUUUUAUUGACUCUGUUUAGGUGAUGUGCUCAACAAUAAUUCACCACAUGGCCCAGGAGCCACCACCCUGGACCACAAACCCCAUAGCAGAUGCAGUCAGUACCUCACUCAUAUACCCUUGGCUCACUCCAAAGGUUACCUGCAGAUAGUUCCUUUAUGACCCGGUGUGUCUGUCUGUCGGAGGGAGUUCUUUAGCCCCUAGAGUCAGCUUGGCUGACAUGCAGGGCAGGCUGGAAAUGCUGUGGAGGUAACAACUCAGGAGCAAGCCACAUCCGGUGAGGAAAAACAAUAGAGGACAGAUAAUCCUGUUCCUUACCCUUCAGUGGGAUAAUUUUGAGGUGUGUUCUCCACAGUUUUGCAGAAGGCUUAGAGAGACUGAGUCACAGUUGUCCUCAGUGGUAACCUGCUCAUUAAUGCAUCCUUUAUUUGGUUUUCCUCCUCUCUCUGACUUCCCUUCCCCCUCACUGUGUUUUCUGGGAUAAACUCCCAAAUAAACUACUUGUACCAAAAUCCUUGCCUUGGGAUCUGCUUUCUGGGAAAUCAAAAUUAAGACAACCCCUGUAAAGGGAGGAGGCCAUCUUCCUGAGUGCCCCAUCAAGACCACAGGGACCAGGGGGAGAUCUUAGACCCCAAAACCACAUUGUGACAAUAUCUUUGCUGACAUCCCACUUUAUUUCCUUCCUUUUUUUUUUUUUUUAAGAGAUAGAAUCUUUUUCUGUGGCCAUGGCUGGAGUGCAGUGGCAUGAUCAUAGCUCACUGCAGCCUUGAACUUCUGGCGUUAAGCAAUCCUGCCUCAGCCUCCCAAGUAGCUGGAA
rnacentral:lncRNA from 10 species